AAAAUCCAUUCUGACGAUUUUUUAUAUCCUGGUAAGCUUUUCAUCUUAUGCAAGUUUUCAAGUUAACUUACGUACGUUUGACCAGGCUACGUGAAAUCUUUUGAGCUGUGGCUUUUUACUUCCAUUUUUCCUACAUUACGUUGUAGCAAUUCUGUUUUUCUUUUAAAUUAAUUUUGCUUUUAUAGUAUCUCCUGCUGUUUGUUUCUUUUUCCAGUUUGAGUCGAUUGUUAAGUUCCUACAUGAAGAAUGGAAGUAAAUGUGUAUAUACAGGUAUCACUUUUCUCUUUGAGCUCUGCCUUCUUUGGUAAUACUGUAUAGACUCUGAUAGAUGUGUUCUGUGUUCGUGGUUGGCUUCUAGAUUUUCUUUGUUAAAUCUUUAUUUCUCUUAGAGAGAGACUCACACAGGGGAGGGGCAGACAGAGGGAGACGCGGCAUCCGAAGCAGGCUCCAGGCUCCGAGCCGUCAGCACAGGGCCCGAUGCGGGGCUCGAACUCACGAACUGCGAGAUCGUGACCUGAGCCGAAGUCGGAGGCUCAACCGACCGAGCCCCCCCAGGCGCCCCCGUACUCAGAGCUUUCCACUUGGAGCCAAGAGUUUAAGAAUUUUUGUGGGCUGGAGAAUUCUCCUACAAAUGGGGCUGUUCACUUUUAGUUUUAAUAAAUAGUAAUUAGGGGAGUCACCUAUGUCCUGUCUACUUGGGAUUGUGGUUUUAGUUGUGCCCUUCCCUGUGACCAGGUAGAGUCCCUGAAUGAAUUCCCUGUGUGUCUUCCUACAUUUGCCGUACGGCGCCCUGUGAGUGUGGAUGUCAAGUUGCCGUGUGCCCGUUGGGUUUUCAGUGGUGAAUAUAUCUCGUUGAAUUCCCUGCCCUGCCUUCCCUCAUGCUUUUGGCCUCGAUCUUAAUCUUGCCUGCCGUUAAUGAUGUCACGCCGCUGUGUGUGUUGCUUGGAGUUUGCCUGGUAUAUUUUAGCUUGAUUUUUCGGAGUCUUUUUUUUCUUAUAAACUUUAUUUUGACGUAACUUGAAUCGACCUAGAGGCUGCAAAACUGGUGCUGAAAGUUCCUGGGCGCUCCUCUCCCAGCUUCGCCUAAUGAAAACAUCUUCCCUAAUCAGAGCACAGCCACCCAAGCAGGACGCUGGCAUCGGCACGAUAUUAGCAACGACGCAUAGACCUUAUUCGAAUGCCGCCAGUUUUUCCAAAGCCCCUGCUUUCAGGCACACUCAAGGCUAGGGGCACAGUCUUCCAGAUGGCAAAGUCUGCCCAAGCCUCCUGACACCCACUACUCAGUCCGAGGGCCCCCCAAGUCGCCCUCAGGUUGGACAGUUCGCUGAAGAGACAGAACUCACUGAAACCUGUUGGGCUGUUGGUCAGGCUUGUUACGGGGGAGGAUACACAUCAGCGCCAGCCGCGGGGUGGACCGGCAGUGUUCCAAGAACAGAGCUUCUGGUCAUCCUCACUGAGCCCGACGGUGGUCUUGGGGACCCCUGCCAUCAGUCCUGGGAAACUUGAUCACGUGCAGAGAUUGACGUGACCCUCGCUACAGUCAGGAUCCAGAACUGUCCCAUUUGCCUCCCAAACUCCUUCCUGCUCCCCCUCUUCCAGUCCCGCCCUCCUAACGCUGACCCCUGACAACCUGUCAUCCCCUCUGUCACCUUGUCACUUCGAGGAUGUUAGUAUAGUUGGAUUGCAGAGUGAUGUUAGUUGCAGGUGUACAAGACGGUGACUCAGCACUUCUGUACAUCACCCCGUGCGUCUCAUGCAAGGUGUUGCCGUGCGGUCUCCAGAGCUCAGCCGGAGAGGUUGGGGUGGACGUGGGCCCGGGCCCAGGCUUCCUGCCGGUUUCCCAAGAAGCAGAUCAG